rnacentral:rRNA from 1 species
AUUGAACGCUGGCGGCAGGCUUAACACAUGCAAGUCGAGCGGAGAUGAGGUGCUUGCACCUUAUCUUAGCGGCGGACGGGUGAGUAAUGCUUAGGAAUCUGCCUAUUAGUGGGGGACAACAUUCCGAAAGGAAUGCUAAUACCGCAUACGCCCUACGGGGGAAAGCAGGGGAUCUUCGGACCUUGCGCUAAUAGAUGAGCCUAAGUCGGGAUUAGCUAGUUGGUGGGGUAAAGGCCUACCAAGGCGACGAUCUGUAGCGGGUCUGAGAGGAUGAUCCGCCACACUGGGACUGGGACACGGCCCAGACUCCUACGGGAGGCAGCAGUGGGGAAUAUUGGACAAUGGGCGGAAGCCUGAUCCAGCCAUGCCGCGUGUGUGAAGAAGGCCUUUUGGUUGUAAAGCACUUUAAGCGAGGAGGAGGCUACCUGGAUUAAUACUCUAGGAUAGUGGACGUUACUCGCAGAAUAAGCAUCGGCUAACUCUGUGCCAGCAGCCGCGGUAAAAC